rnacentral:rRNA from 1 species
AUGACGGUCAACAAGGCACAGGGGCAGACUAUCCCGAACGCGGGUAUAUACUUGCCCGAGCCAGUGUUCUCUCAUGGGCAGUUGUAUGUCGCGCUAUCUAGAUCAACUGCUAGAAAGAACAUCAAGAUCCUUACCGCCCCGGCUACAGACAAUGAGAAAAAUGUCUCAAACGAUAGUAGAAGGAAUAGCUCAAAUUACAUUGGUAAUUACACGAGGAACAUCGUCUAUAGGGAGGUACUUACAUCAUAG